rnacentral:rRNA from 1 species
UACAGAGGUCUCAAGCGUUGUUCGGAUCCAUUGGGCGUAAAGGGUGCGUAGGCGGGUCUUUAAGUCAGGGGUGAAAUCCUGGAGCUCAACUCCAGAACUGCCUUUGAUACUGAAGAUCUUGAGUUCGGGAGAGGUGAGUGGAACUGCGAGUGUAGAGGUGAAAUUCGUAGAUAUUCGCAAGAACACCAGUGGCGAAGGCGGCUCACUGGCCCGAUACUGACGCUGAGGCACGAAAGCGUGGGGAGCAAACAGG